GGUCAAGCUACAAAGGGCUCAUGGCGGAUACCUUGGCACACAGAGGCGAUGAAGGACGUGGUUACCUGCGAUAUGUCUCGUGGAGCUGGAUACACGCUUUGAUCCGGGAAUUUCCGAAUGGGGCAACCCUUAGAACGGCCAGCUGAAUACAUAGGCUGGCGCGAGCCAACCCAGCG
rnacentral:rRNA from 1 species